GUGCUCACUUUGGCAGCACGUAUACUAAAAUUGGAAUGAUACAGAGAAGAUUAGCAUGGCUCCUGCAUGGAAUGACAUGCCAAGUGUGCACUCGCUCUCUCUCUUU
ensembl:snRNA U6 U6 spliceosomal RNA